rnacentral:lncRNA from 1 species
AAGACCGUUGCAGCCAGGCCGGGACAUUGAGUUCCGCAUGCACCAGGCGCAAGGCAAUCAAUCAAGACCGGAUUCCGGCGUAGUCGCUGGGCCGCGUAAAUCUUCAUCCCGCAAAUCGGGACACAUAAAACAACUUCGGACGCCUGCGUAGUCGUGGGCCGACGAAGAUAGCAAGACCGUUGCAGCUAGGGCGGGGCUUUUCAGUUCCGCAAGCACCAGGCGCAACGCGAAGCAUCACCAGCAGAAGCCGGCGUAGUCGCCGAGCCGCAAAUCAUCGCAUCUGCAGCAUCAGAGCGAACCGCAGCGUCCCACAGUAUCGAGACGUGACAAGAAAAUCUCAUCGGAAGCCGGCGUAGUCGUCGAGCCGAAAUAUUCAGAUAAGUGUCUAAAUCCACUCACAAACAUUCAUAUUCAUCCAUUCAUCCACUAAUCCAUCUCACAAUCACAUCACAAACAUCCAUCGCUCCAAAAUAACCCACAUAGUAUCACGCACUAAUAAUAUAGUCAUCCAUUUUGCAUGAAACAUUCACUAAUUUUCAAAUUCGCACUUCAUAUCAUACGUGAACCAUCAUUGUUUAAUACUUAAUCAAAUUCAAAAAAUUGUAACUAUCGCCGCACGUAAAACUAAUUACUAAACUCAAUUUAUAACGUUAAAAUUUAUUCAGCCGCGCAUCAAUAGGUAACAAAGGAACGUCAGUGCAAGCGAUAAGGAACCGGUUUGUUUAGUCCACUCGCGGUUGCAAAUCGUAAACGAUGUCUCUUGACGAAUUAGUUAUACAACGUAGUGCAAUACAGCGACGCGUAACGAGGUUUAGAAAUUAUUUAAGUGAAAUUAGUAAACUUUAUUUAGAUUCAAUGCAAUUAACUAUAUUACAAAUAAAAUUAAACAAAUUCGAGUGCCUAGAAAACGAAUUCUUAAAAUUACAGUGCCAAAUAGAAUGCUUAAAUUCAAGUGAAUUAAAACAUGAACUAGAUAUUCGCGAAGACAUCGAAGAUGGUUUCAUUAGUGCCAUUGUUAUGGCGCGCGAUAUAAUGUCGCGCAAUGCCAGAUCUUCGAGAUUUAAAGACACCUGUAGUGCAUCUCCGAUUAUCCACGAGCAGGGCACUUACUGGUCGGCCGGCGUCUGACUACGCUUCAUCUCAUCGGAUCAACGACCAGAGCUCCAACUGAAGUAGAACUACCUAUAGCAAGAAGGCAA